rnacentral:rRNA from 1 species
UAGGGAAUCUUCCACAAUGGACGAAAGUCUGAUGGAGCAACGCCGCGUGAGUGAAGAAGGGUUUCGGCUCGUAAAACUCUGUUGUUAAAGAAGAACAUAUCUGAGAGUAACUGUUCAGGUAUUGACGGUAUUAACCAGAAAGCCACGGCUAACUACGCGCCAG